AUAUUUAUGUUGUAGUCUUUGGUACCAGUUGAAUGCCUCAUCUUGUAACAAGUAAGCCGCAUACUAAAUGUUUUCAUCAUCAUGAUAUUCUUAGACAGCGAAGGCCUUUUCUAUCUCUAUAAUCCAAUUAUCAGCUUCCAAAGAUUUGAUAAUCCCCUUGAAAGCUAGUGGAGCUAUCUUUUUGAAUUUUGCGAUGUUGUUUCACUGCACUGACAGCUUUCCAUGGCCAUGUUGCUAUGGCAGAUGCUGAUGUUGUGGUGUAUCUCAAUGUGUCUAUUAGUUCAAAUAAUUACUGCUGUCUCUAUAUCACCCUAACUAGGGUUUGCAUUAAUCGAAUCG
rnacentral:lncRNA from 1 species